AGGUGAUCCUCAGUGGUCUGGGGUGCAGGCUUCAAACUUGUAGCUGUCUAGCAACAGAGUGGUUCAAUUCCACCUCUUAUCUG
rnacentral:tRNA from 1 species